rnacentral:rRNA from 1 species
ACCGGCGAACGGGGUAGGAACACAUCGGUAACGUACCCUCAGGACGGGGAUAGCGGCGGGAAACUGCCGGUAAUACCCGAUGAUCUGGCGAGUCUGUGAUGCUUGCCAGCAAAGGUGAGAUUCCACCUGAGGAGCGGCUGAUGCGCUAUUAGCUAGUUGGUGAGGUCACGGCUCACCAAGGCGACGAUGGCUAGGGGGUGUGAGAGCAUGGCCCCCACCACUGGCACUGAGACACUGGCCAGACACCUACGGGUGGCUGCAGUCGAGAAUCUUCGGCAAUGGGCGCAAGCCUGACCGAGCGACGCCGCGUGCGGGAUGAAGGUCUUCGGAUUGUAAACCGCUGUCGGGAGGGAUGAAGUGUUCCGGGGCAAUCCCCGGGAUUUGACAGAGCUCCGGAGGAAGCACGGGCUAAGUUCGUGCCAGCAGCCGCGGUAAUACGAACUGUGCGAACGUUAUUCGGAAUCACUGGGCUUAAAGGGUGCGUAGGCGGCGAAUCAAGUCUGUUGUGAAAUCUCUCGGCUCAACCGAGAAAGUGCAGUGGAAACUGAUUUGCUAGAGUGAGGCAGGGGUGUAGGGAACUUCCAGUGGAGCGGUGAAAUGUGUUGAUAUUGGAAGGAACACCGGUGGCGAAAGCGUUACACUGGGCCUUUUCUGACGCUGAGGCACGAAAGCCAGGGGAGCGAACGGGAUUAGAUACCCCGGUAGUCCUGGCCAUAAACGCUGA